GGCCUAACACAUGCAAGUCGAGCGAGGUUCAACCAGUGGCAACACUGGGGAAGACCUAGCGGCGAACGGGUGAGUAACACGUGAGCAACCUGCCCCGAAGACUGGGAUAACACCGGGAAACCGGUGCUAAUACCGGAUACCCCCACGAGAUCGCAUGGUUUUGUGAGGAAAUGAAUUUCGCUUUGGGAGGGGCUCGCGGGCUAUCAGCUUGUUGGUGGGGUAACGGCUCACCAAGGCGACGACGGCUAGCUGGUCUGAGAGGACGACCAGCCACACUGGGACUGAGACACGGCCCAGACUCCUACGGGAGGCAGCAGUGGGGAAUCUUGCGCAAUGGGCGAAAGCCUGACGCAGCAACGCCGCGUGGGGGAUGAAGGCCUUCGGGUUGUAAACCCCUUUCAGCAGGGACGAAAUUGACGGUACCUGCAGAAGAAGCCCCGGCCAACUACG
rnacentral:rRNA from 1 species